CCUACGGGUGGCAGCAGUGGGGAAUAUUGGGCAAUGGAGGAAACUCUGACCCAGCAACGCCGCGUGAAUGAUGAAGGUCUUCGGAUUGUAAAGUUCUUUUCUAAGGGAAGAAGAGAGUGAGGGUACUUUAGGAAUAAGCCUCGGUUAACUACGUGCAAGCAGCCGAGGUAAUCCGUAGGAGGCGAGCGUUUUCCGGAAUGACUGGGCGUAAAGGGUGCGUAGGUGGUAUGGCAAGUUAGUAGCGAAACUCCAAGGCUCAACCUUGGAACUCCACCUGAAACUGUUGGACUUGAGUGCCGGAGGGGCAAGCGGAAUUCCUAGUGUAGCGGUGAAAUGCGUAGAUAUAAGGAAGAACACCAGUGGCGAAGGCGGAUUGCUGGACUGUAACUGACGCUGAGGCACGAAAGCGUGGGGAGCAAACAGGAUUAGAUACCCUUGUAGUC
rnacentral:rRNA from 1 species